GGCGCUAUAGUGUAGUGGUUAUCACUUGGGAUUCUGAUUUCUUUCCGAUUGUUCCCAAAACCCAGGUUCGAGCCCUGGUAGCGCCU